rnacentral:sRNA from 1 species
AGAUAUAACCAGUUAGCGCAAGGCUCAUCACUGAGCCUAUUCCCCUAAGCCCGAUACAGGAAUAGUUUCGGGCUCUUUUU